rnacentral:rRNA from 1 species
AUUGAACGCUGGCGGCAUGCCUUACACAUGCAAGUCGAACGGCAGCACGGGGCAACCUGGUGGCGAGUGGCGAACGGGUGAGUAAUGCAUCGGAACGUACCUUUCAGUGGGGAUAACGUAGCGAAAGUUACGCUAAUACCGCAUAUUCUGUGAGCAGGAAAGCAGGGGAUCGCAAGACCUUGCGCUGAUUGAGCGGCCGAUGUCAGAUUAGCUAGUUGGUGAGGUAAAGGCUCACCAAGGCGACGAUCUGUAGCGGGUCUGAGAGGAUGAUCCGCCACACGGGAACUGGGACACGGUCCAGACUCCUACGGGAGGCAGCAGUGGGGAAUUUUGGACAAUGGGGGCAACCCUGAUCCAGCCAUGCCGCGUGAGUGAAGAAGGCCUUCGGGUUGUAAAGCUCUUUCGGCCGGGAAGAAAUCGCACGGGCUAAUACCCUGUGUGGAUGACGGUACCGGAAUAAGAAGCACCGGCUAACUACGUGCCAGCCGCCGCCGUAACAC